rnacentral:rRNA from 1 species
AGAUUGAACGCUGGCGGCAUGCCUAACACAUGCAAGUCGAACGGGAGUAGCAAUACUCUAGUGGCGGACGGGUGAGGAAUACGUAGGAAUUUGCCCUUAAGUGGGGGAUAACCCGGGGAAACCCGGAUUAAUACCGCAUGACCUCGAAAGAGCAAAGUGGGGGAUCGCAAGACCUCACGCUUUGGAGAAGCCUACGUCGGAUUAGCUAGUUGGUGAGGUAAUGGCUCACCAAGGCGACGAUCCGUAACUGGUCUGAGACGGAUGGAUACGAGUCAACUACCGGACUGAGACACGGUCCGGACUCGUACGGAGGCAGCAGUGGGAAUGUGGACAAGUGGGC